AUGAGGCUUGUGGCAGCUCUUGGAUGAUGGCAUUGAGCACUGAUUUUAGAAAGUCCUUGAGAAGUUCUUUAGUUCUGGUGCCUCUAAAAUAACUAAGAUUACAUAGGGCUUGUUAGCUUUGGUGUUCAAGGCACAGGACUCUGAUUCCUCACACCAUGGAGUAACACCAGACUUCUACAGAAUUACUUCCACUUGAGGCUUCCCAAUCCCUGUUCUCCAAAAUGAAAUAGAAACAGCCAUCAUAUACUACAGAUGUAUUUGCAAAGGACUUCUACAAAGUUUUGUCCAAUAGGACACAAUAAUCCUUAUCUAAGAACAGAUAAGGGAUCUGGAAUGUACAGUUUUUAUGAGACUUCUUAAUAUGGAAAACAAUUGGUAAAAUGUGCUUUACUGGAACACUUUAAUAAAGCUUUUCAGUGACUUUUGUUCCCAAA